rnacentral:rRNA from 1 species
AAAGGUAGCAUAAUCAUUUGGCUUAUAAUUGAAGUCUGGCAUGAAUGAAUUAAUGGGGAACAUCUGUCUAUAAUAUUCUAUUAGAAUUUAAUUAAUAAGUGAAAAUUCUUAUAAAUAAAUAAAAGACGAGAAGACCCUAGAAAUUUUAUUUAUUCUAGUAUAAUACUAUAUCAUUUUGUUGGGGCGACAGAAUAACAGAUAACUUAUUUUAUUUAAUUAGCAUUAUGUAUUAUGUAAAAUUAAAUUACUCUAGGGAUAACAGCAUAAUUUAUAAAAGUUUGUGACCUCGAUGUUGGACUAGGAAAUUUAAUAUUCAAAAGGUAUUAAAAUUUGCUCUGUUCGAGCAUUAACUCCUACAU